rnacentral:rRNA from 1 species
AUUGAACGCUGGCGGCAUGCUUUACACAUGCAAGUCGAACGGCAGCACAGGGAGCUUGCUCCUGGGUGGCGAGUGGCGAACGGGUGAGUAACGUAUCGGAACGUUCCUGGUAGUGGGGGAUAACUACCCGAAAGCGUGGCUAAUACCGCAUGAGAUCUUUGGAUGAAAGCGGGGGACCUUCGGGCCUCGUGCUACUGGAGCGGCCGAUAUCAGAUUAGGUUGUUGGUGUGGUAAAGGCCUACCAAGCCUGCGAUCUGUAGCUGGUCUGAGAGGACGACCAGCCACACUGGGACUGAGACACGGCCCAGACUCCUACGGGAGGCAGCAGUGGGGAAUUUUGGACAAUGGGCGCAAGCCUGAUGCAGCAAUGCCGCGUGCGGGACGAAGGCCUUCGGGUUGUAAAAUGCUUUUGUACAGAACGAAAAGUCUCUGGCUAAUAUCUAGAGAUCAUGACGGUACUGUAAGAAUAAGCACCGGCUAACUACGUG